rnacentral:rRNA from 1 species
UACGUAGGGUGCGAGCGUUGUCCGGAAUUACUGGGCGUAAAGAGCUCGUAGGUGGUUUGUCGCGUUGUCCGUGAAAACUCACAGCUUAACUGUGGGCGUGCGGGCGAUACGGGCAGACUGGAGUACUGCAGGGGAGAAUGGAAUUCCCGGUGUAGCGGUGAAAUGCGCAGAUAUCAGGAGGAACACCGGUGGCGAAGGCGGUUCUCUGGGCAUUACCUGACGCUGAGGAGCGAAAGUGUGGGGAGCGAACAGG